UUAAAGGUACCCGUACCGCAAACCGACACAGGUGGGUGAGGAGAGUAUCCUAAGGCCAGCGAGAGAACUGUUGUUAAGGAACUCGGCAAAAUGACCCCGUAACUUAGGGAUAAGGGGUGCCACCAUCCGGUGGCCGCAGAGAAUAGGCUCAAGCGACUGUUUACCAAAAACAUAGGUUUCUGCUAAGUCGCAAGACGAUGUAUAGGAGCUGACGCCUGCCCGGUGCUGGAA
rnacentral:rRNA from 1 species